UACGAACCGUACGAACGUUAUUCGGAAUCACUGGGCUUAAAGGGUGUGUAGGCGGCUCAGAAAGUUGGGUGUGAAAUCCCUCGGCUCAACCGAGGAAUUGCGCUCAAAACUAUUGGGCUUGAGGGAGGCAGAGGUAAGCGGAACUAAUGGUGGAGCGGUGAAAUGCGUUGAUAUCAUUAGGAACACCUGAGGCGAAAGCAGCUUACUGGGCCUCUUCUGACGCUGAAACACGAAAGCUAGGGGAGCGAAC
rnacentral:rRNA from 1 species